UAGCGUAUAUUAAAGUUGUUGCAGUUAAAAAGCUCGUAGUUGAACCUUGGGUCUGGCUGGCCGGUCCGCCUCACCGCGAGUACUGGUCCGGCUGGACCUUUCCUUCUGGGGAAUCCCAUGGCCUUCACUGGCUGUGGGUGGAACCAGGACUUUUACUGUGAAAAAAUUAGAGUGUUCAAAGCAGGCCUUUGCUCGAAUACAUUAGCAUGGAAUAAUAGAAUAGGACGUGCGGUUCUAUUUUGUUGGUUUCUAGGACCGCCGUAAUGAUUAAUAGGGAUAGUCGGGGGCGUCAGUAUUCAGCUGUC
rnacentral:rRNA from 1 species